rnacentral:lncRNA from 7 species
ACUGGAAGAGGAAGUAUGUUGCUGCGCUGCAGAGUUGCCGUGGCAAUGGGUCAGCAGCAGAAAGAAACAGGUUCUGCCCUCAACAGACCAUCUGUUAGGAAGGGACCUUAAAUCUCCAAGAAAGGAAGUCUCUAGAGAUAGGACAUUCCAUUCUGUUGGAGUUUAAAUUUGGUCCCAGAGCAACAAGACCUGCUUUGGAGCCUCCAAACCUCAGGACUCCACAGUUCUCAAAAAGACAGCCGAACGGCUUCCUGGAAUCCCGUGUGAGCUGUCAGCUCUGCAGCAGUGUAAAGAUGCUGGAGCAUCCUCCAACCGCAAGCCAAGGACCACAAAGCCUUGCGUAUCACCUUGGCUUUCUUACAGUGAGUGGGUGAUUGAAAUGACAGACUCUCAGCCCAUGUGCUUAACUGCUUGAGGUUAGACCUGGGGAGACUGGGCUAAGGGAGAGAUGA